GCCAGUGUGGCUCAGUGUUAGAGCGUUGGCCUGGGGACUGAAGGGUAUUGGGUUUGAUUCCAGUCAAGGGCA
rnacentral:tRNA from 1 species